AACGAACGCUGGCGGCAUGCCUAACACAUGCAAGUCGAACGCGUGUAGCAAUACACGAGUGGCGGACGGGUGAGUAACGCGUGGGAACCUGCCCAAUGGUAGGGAAUAACUGCGGGAAACUGCAGCUAAUACCCUAUGCUCCCUACGGGGGAAAGAUUUAUCGCCAUUGGAGGGGCCCGCGUCGGAUUAGCUAGUUGGCGGGGUAAUGGCCCACCAAGGCUACGAUCCGUAGCUGGUCUGAGAGGAUGAUCAGCCACACUGGGACUGAGAUACGGCCCAGACUCCUACGGGAGGCUG
rnacentral:rRNA from 1 species